rnacentral:lncRNA from 1 species
AUUUGUAAGGGCUCAUAUUAAUAAUUCAAUUCUCUAAUAUUCUGCCACAAUUAAUUGUAAUCCAAAUAGUCUAUUUGACAAAAUCUCUAUCUUAGAAAUUUUAGAAUCCAAAUCACCCAAAAUCUCUCAUUAUCCCCUACACAACAAGGCCUAAAUAUUGAACUAAGACACAACAAUACUUACAAAGAAUUAAUUUGGAAUUAAUUACCAACGAUUGAGUGUCCCGGUGGUAGGACAAGGAGAUUGUUAACCGUGAUAAUGCUAGUUCGAUCCACAACUCCGUUAAGGAUUUUGAUGAACGGAUUUUACCCCGCUUUCAAAUACCCACUAGAUUGCUCUAGUGGGAUCGUAAUUCUCCCUAGGGUCUUUCUAUUCUUAUUACUCAAGUUGAUUUUGCUAACUAGACCAAGU